rnacentral:rRNA from 1 species
GAUGAACGCUGGCGGCGUGCUUAACACAUGCAAGUCGAACGGAAAGGCUCCUGCUUGCAGGGGUACUCGAGUGGCGAACGGGUGAGUAACACGUGGGUGAUCUGCCCUGCACUUCGGGAUAAGCCUGGGAAACUGGGUCUAAUACCGGAUAGGACGAUGGUUUGGAUGCCAUUGUGGAAAGUUUUUCGGUGUGGGAUGAGCUCGCGGCCUAUCAGCUUGUUGGUGGGGUAAUGGCCUACCAAGGCGUCGACGGGUAGCCGGCCUGAGAGGGUGUACGGCCACAUUGGGACUGAGAUACGGCCCUGACUCCUACGGGAGGCAGAAGUGGGGAAUAUUGCACAAUGGGCGCAAGCCUGAUGCAGCGACGCCGCGUGGGGGAUGACGGCCUUCGGGUUGUAAACUCCUUUCGCUAGGGACGAAGCGCAAGUGACGGUACCUGGAGAAGAAGCACCGGCUAACUACGUG